UCGAGAAUAAUUCACAAUGGACGAAAGUCUGAUGGUGCAACGCCGCGUGGAGGAUGACGGUCUUCGGAUUGUAAACUCCUGUCAUCGGGGAGUAAGACCUGGGUGUUAAUAGCACACAGGGUUGAUAGUACCCGAAGAGGAAGGGACGGCUAACUUCGUGCCAGCAGCCGCGGUAAUACGAAGGUCCCAAGCGUUGUUCGGAAUCACUGGGCGUAAAGGGAGCGUAGGCGGUCUGGUAAGUCAGAUGUGAAAUCCCGGGGCUCAACCUCGGAACUGCAUUUGAUACUGCCAUGACUAGAGUAAUGGAGGGGUAGCUGGAAUUCUCGGUGUAGCAGUGAAAUGCGUAGAUAUCGAGAGGAACACUCGUGGCGAAGGCGAGCUACUGGACAUUUACUGACGCUGAGGCUCGAAGGCCAGGGUAGCGAAAGGGAUUAGAUACCCCCGUAGUCC
rnacentral:rRNA from 1 species